rnacentral:rRNA from 1 species
UACGUAGGGUGCGAGCGUUAAUCGGAAUUACUGGGCGUAAAGCGUGCGCAGGCGGUUUUGUAAGACAGCUGUGAAAUCCCCGGGCUUAACCUGGGAACUGCGGUUGUGACUGCAAGGCUGGAGUCAGGCAGAGGGGGGUGGAAUUCCACGUGUAGCAGUGAAAUGCGUAGAGAUGUGGAGGAACACCGAUGGCGAAGGCAGCCCCCUGGGCCAUGACUGACGCUCAUGCACGAAAGCGUGGGGAGCAAACAGG